GAGAUGUCCAAGAGAAUGGUCCUUGAUGAAAAGGAAAACAAAUGUGAACCAAGCUUUUGGAGAAACCCAUAUCUUCUUAUAUUAUUAACAAAGUGAGAUUGCAGAGAAAGUCUCGGGAUGCAGCCCAGCAUGCCAUCAAAUACAUGACUUCCUGCCUCAGUCUUUUGAGUAUUAAAAUUCCAGGAAUUUGCUACCACACCCAGAAUUUCUUACAUUUUCAAAACACUGUUCGAAUAACCCUCCUUGAGUCUGAACUCCACUGGGAGUUUAGAUACCACUCCCCUCAAUGCCUGCAAGUACCUGAACAUCAGGAAAACAUCCUUGUGAUCAAAUGUUUCCCUAGAGUUAACUGUGAAGUCCACAACUGGUAAAAUAAAUAAAUAAACUUAGUUACUAUUGUA